GAUGAACGCUGGCGGCGUGCCUAAUACAUGCAAGUCGAGCGAACAGACGAGGAGCUUGCUCCUUUGACGUUAGCGGCGGACGGGUGAGUAACACGUGGAUAACCUACCUAUAAGACUGGGAUAACCUCGGGAAACCGGAGCUAAUACCGGAUAAUAUACUGAACCGCAUGGUUCAAUAGUGAAAGACGGCUUUGCUGUCUCUUAUAGAUGGAUCCGCGCCGCAUUAGCUAGUUGGUAAGGUCACGGCUUACCAAGGCUACGAUGCGUAGCCGACCUGAGAGGGUGAUCAGCCACACUGGAACUGAGACACGGUCCAGACUCCUACGGGAGGCAGCAGUAGGGAAUCUUCCGCAAUGGGCGGAAGCCUGACGGAGCAACGCCGCGUGAGUGAUGAAGGUCUUCGGAUCGUAAAACUCUGAUAUUAGGGAAGAACAAAUGUGUAAGUAACUAUGCGCGUCUUGACGGUACCUAAUCAGAAAGCCACGGCUAACUACGUG
rnacentral:rRNA from 1 species